AUUAAGUGAGCAUGUUCAGUGUUAGACUAGGUCUUCUAUGACAAUUCUGAAUCAAAUCUAUAAAGCUUUGAUGUCUGUUGCUCCACUGCUGACUUCCUUCCCCUGUUCUUGCAGCUGGUCUGCGGAAAGUGACCACUGAUAACUCUCCUUAUCUGCCACAAUCACAUAAACAUACUCCUGUUCCAGUAUCAUUCUCUUAAUGAGACUGUGCUUUUGCUUUUCAGGUUUUUUUCACUGCUUUUUACCUUUCUUUUCAAUUAUAUUCUGCCUGUGAAAGGAAAAGAGAGAUACAAAGAAGUCACAAGGAGGCCUGCAGAGAUGUGGAUUCCAAAUCAUUUUAUGGAAAAGUUCAUGUUUGUUGCAGGAUGUUGUUACUGCAUCAGGUCAACUUGGAAUAAAAUAUGGUGGCUUAACUGGAGGUUCUGGAGGUUCCAGCUCUGUUCACUGACGGAAGUCUAUACAUACACCGGCAAGAAUCACAGUUAUUUUUAGAAUUUGAUAUGCCUCUUCACUGUGCGCAAUACCUGCAACCAGCGAGAAAAGGAGACCGAUGCCUGGGAAAGGAGUUGAAGGCAGACAAACACUAUUUUAAGGAAGCUAUGAAAAACUGGUUCCUACCGCUGCCAUAAAGUAUUUUAGAUUGGAAAAAAAUAAUUACUAACUGCUGUAUUUACACUUCCCUAUUAAUUUUUACUAUGAGAAAACGUGAGCUCAACAGGAAUACAACUAAAAAAUUCAGAAGUGUUAUAAAUAUAUCACAGAAAUCUUAAGGGAAAAUAAUAUCCUAGCAUUUUUAGUCUGGACACUUAGUAUGUGGGUACUUUUCUGUAAUUUUGCUCUUAAUCCGUCUCUCUGUCAGUUUUCUAUUUGGAAAAUUACGGUAAAUCCAUGUAUUCGCUUAAGUAUACUGUGUAAUCAACCUUUCAGAUAUUAUGAUGAGGGUAAUUAAAAAUGUACUUCCAAAAGUUCAGGGCUUGGAUUUUUUUUCUCUGAUCAGUACCUUUUUAUUUUAAUGAAUUGCUCUCAUACUUAAUGAGCCCUGGGAGCCCAAAACAUGGGUUUAAUUAUUACUCUGA